rnacentral:lncRNA from 1 species
AGUGAAGGAGCAAAGGGGACUCGGCCGCCAUGUUAGGAGUACUGGGACGAUUCCGCGGAGCCGGGCAGAGGUUUUAGGGGUGCGCAGGAGUCAAGUGGUGGUUCAGUGGGGACGGAAUGAUUAACAAAGGCGUCCGAAGAAAUCGUUGUUGGAAGGUGACCAAGGUGGAAAGAGACGUUGCUUUGGCCCUGCAAGUAAGAAGAGAGAGGGAAUAGCCUGAAGGAGUAACACUAAAUUUAAAAUGACACUUUUUUACCAACCAGCGAAAGCAGAUGUUCAAAGGGGAUAUUGGCCAGAGUCUGUCACACUAAGAUGAGAAAUGUCCUUUCUUCCUGAAGGUGUCUGAUGUGUAAAAAUAUGAUAUACUUUGUGCUGUUUCCUCCCUUCCCUUUUGCAUAUUAUUCUGAAACAACAUUAACUAGUUACUUUGCGUCAUUGAAGAACUCACUUUGAGGCCAAGCGUGGUUGCUCAGGCCUGUAAUCCCAGCACUUUGGGAGGCCGAGGCAGGUGGAUCACCUGAGGUCAGGAGUUGGAGACCAGCCUGGCCAACACGACAAACCCCGUCUCUACUAAAAAUACAAAAAUUAGCCUGGCAUGGUGGCACACACCUGUAAUUCCAGCUGCUCGGGAGGCUGAAGCAUGAGAAUCACUUGAACCUGGGAGGCAGAGGUUGCAGUGAGCCAAGGUUGCAGUGGAUCAAGAUCACACCACUGCACUCCAGCCUGGGCAAUAGAGUGAGACUCUGUCUCAAGAAGAAGAAAAAGAAAAAAAACUCACUUUAAACUCUGCUAGACCAUUGCCCUUGUAUGUGAAAUUUUAUCUGGAUAGAAGAAGAUGAGGAAAAAAAUUUUCUUGUCUUUUAGUGGAGGAGAAUGACAUGUAAAACAAGUAUUCUUUAAAAAUUCCAAAUAUGAUAUGAGAACUACCCCAUAAAGUUGUGAAGGUCACAUUGGUGAAAGGAAAACUAAGUGCUGUGUAAAUUACAAAGUUGUCUAAGUAUCCACCUGGUCCUUACCUUGCUAUAGAAUCUUUUUUUUUUUUAGACGGAGUCUAGCUCUGUCGCCCAGGCUGGAGUGCAGUGGCGCAAGCUCCGCUUACUGCAAGCUCCGCCUCCUGGGUUCAUGCCAUUCUCCUGCCUCAACCGCCCGAGUAGCUGGGAUUACAGGUGCCCACCACCACGCCCAGCUAAUUUUUUUUUUUUUUUUGUAUUUUUAGUAGAGACGGGGUUUUCCCAUGUUAGCCAGGAUGGUCUUGAUCUCCUGACCUCGUGAUCUGCCCACCUCGGCCUCCCAAGGUGCUGGGAUUACAGGUGUGAGCCACCACGCCCAGCCUACCUUGCUAUAGAAUCUUUAGGCCUAAUAUAGUCUAGCCAGAACAGCUAUUUGGAUGCUUGCCUAAUCUUCAAUACUGGUUUCCCUUUUAUACAUGACUGCAAAACUGACUCUCACCUAGGUUUGUGAUGUUAGAAACUCCAGUUGUUUACUAUUAUUAUUAAAGUGGGAAACGGAGUUCGUUGAUCAAAUGGAUUAAUGUUUUGAGUACUUACUAUACACCAGGGGCUCUUAAAUUUUUACAUAAACUUUCUGGAUGGAGAGUGAUAGAAUCUCCAUUGUUCACUUGCCACAAGCCACACCAUUUGUAGCUAACAUUUGAAUGCUUACUAUGAGCAAAGGCACUGUUCCAAGGGCAUUACAUGCACAUCAUUCAUAUUUCUCAUUUAAUCUUUAUAACAACUCCUUAAAAUACUGGUAGUAUUCUUGUUCCCUAAUUUGUCAAUAAGAAAACUGAAAUUUAGAGAUUAUACAAUUUGCCCAGCACUAUUGGAAAGCUGGGACUUUGAAACCUGGCUGAUUUGACUCCAAAGUCUGCACUCUAUUCCAACAGACUGCCAGUGCCUCCAGAAUUAAUUAGCAUUAAUAUUUUCUGUUGUUUAUGAUCUAAGUAUGGCUGUCCAUGGCAGGGAGUUAAUGAGGGAGGCAUUAAUGGGGAAACACUGGACCACUUCUGAGAGAUGUGGUGCCCUCCCUCACAAACAGGUUUCUUGUGGUGAAAUCAGGUUGGAAGGAUAAGAGAGGCUGAAGAAGGUGGAGGUGGUGUAGUUGGGCCUGUUUAGGAACUGAUUACAUCUGAGCCUCUGGCCCUUUUUCCUGCCAGCUGACUCAGAGCUGGCAGAUGGGCCAAAGUCCAGGCAGGUUGAUUUCAUGGGCUGUAUACUUCAAAGGAUCUGAUUCCUGGUGCUACUAAGCACAUUGCUUUUCCGAAGGCACAGUCUUGUGGGGGAGGGAACAGGAUGGUCUCCAUGAGGUGUUUGUGAAAGCCCUAGGCAAUGUUUGCUCUAAUCCAAAUAUAUACAGCUUGUUUUGAGUUUGGCAAUAAAACACAGAGCCAGCCCUAAGCAGGGCUGAAAACUGAGUAUUUAAACCUUAAGUAUUCUGCAAUACAACAACAGUUAAGUAUAUGGGUCCUAGAGUCAGAUAGAACUGAAAUCUAAUCUUGACUUCACCACUCAGCUGUAGAUAAAUUACUAGACCUCAGUUUUCUUGUUCGUGAAAUGGGGAUUUUAGUUAUAGAGUACCUACUUCAUAUGGUUGUCGUGAGGAUUAAACAAAAAUGUAUACCACAGUACCUGAGAUGUAGUAAACACUCUUGAAACAUUAGUCAUUAUUCAUUUUUUAAAUUUUUCCUUCAAAUACUUUCCUAUCCAAUAGUCAUUAUUCAUUGAAAACUUCUAUUUUAUAAGACGAUCUCAGCACUUAAACAAAAUAAAUUGAUUCAUCAUGUUUUCACUUAACAGGCAUUCAAAAGGCAUUUAUUAUUGUGUUGGGUAGAUGGAUGGAGAAAAUAGCAAUAAUUUUUGUUGAACACCUAAAAUGAGCCAAACUUUUUAAAAAAUAUUGUCUCAUUUUAUGCUCACAACAGCUCUAUGAAGUAUUUUCCUAUAUUAUAGAUGAGAUCAUGGGCCAAGAGAGGAUUAGCAACAUGCCUAAGAUCAUAUAGUCAGCACUGUCUAAUUCUGAAGCCUAUGAAUAAGGUAGCAUUUAUCCCCACGGAAGCAUGGUAUUCAGCAGGCAGGCAGACACAUAAACAAGUACAGCUGGCCCAUCUAGCCUCACGUUCUGCAUCCAUGGAUUCAACCAAAAAUGGAUUUAAAAUAUUGGGGAAAAAACAAAUAAUAAAACAACUAAAAAAUACAAAUUUUAAAAUAUAGUAUAACAACUACUUACAUAGCUUUUACAUUGUAUUAGGUAUUAUAAGUAAUGUAGAGAUGGUUUAAAGUAUACAAGAGAGUCUGGACACAGUGGCUUAUGCCUGUAAUCCCAGCUUUUUGGGAGGCCAAGGUGGGUGGAUCCCUUGAGCCCAGGAGUUUGAGACCAGCCUGAGCAACAAGAUGAAACCCUGUCUCUACAAAAAAUACAAAAAUUAGCCAGAUGUGUUGGUGCAUGCCUGUGGUCCCAGCUACUCGGGAGAGUGAGGUGGGAGAAUCACUUGAGCCUCAGAGAUCGAGGCUGCAGUAAGCUGUAAUCACGCCACUGCACUCCAGCCUGGGUGACAGAGUAAGACCCUGUCUCAAAAGUAAUAAUAAUAAUAAAGUAUACAAGAGGAUGUCAUAUGUUAUAUGCAAAUAUUAUACCUUUUUUUUUUUUUUUUUUUGAGACAGUCUCUUGCUCUGUUGCCCAGGCUGGAGUAGAGUGGUGCUAUCAUAGCUGACUGUAACCUCGAACUCUUUCCUGAACUUGAGUGAUCUUCCUGCUUCAGCCUCCCAAGUAGCUGAGACUACAGGCAUGUGCCAUCACAUCCAGCUAAUUUUUAAUUUUUAAUUUUUUUUGUAGAGAUGGGGUCUCACUGUGGUGCCCAGGCUGUUAUGCCAUUUUAUAUAAGGGACUUGAACAUCUGCAGAUUUCAAGGGGAAAGAGUUUGAGGUUACAGUCAGCUAUGAUAGCACCACUCUACUCCAGCCUGGGCAACAGAGCCAGAGACUGUCUCAAAAAAAAAAAAAAAAAGAGGAGAGUCCUGGAACCAACUCCCCACAGUUAUGGAGGAAGGACUGUACCUACAGUCAAAGUGCUGUCGUUGAGUUUUACACUAGGUGCUUGGGAGAACAGAAUGGAAUAGGUGAACUCUGGGCAUGAAGUGAAGGUAGUCCCCUUCACAGGAAUAAAUGCUAAUAAUGGGGCUUCAGGUGAGAAUGAGGAAGGAAGCCUUUGCUGGUGGAGGAGUUAAGGGAGUUCUUUCUGGGUUUCCCUAAGUCACACUAGAAGAAAAGGGUUACAGGGAGGCCUUUCUGGAAUUCCUCAAGUCAAUAUGACAGCCUCUUAGAUCCAGCAUUACAACUGCAGCAAAUUUUAUAGCUGCAAACAAAGAAACUGUCUCCAGAGAGACAGAUUAUGUUGUUUACUUGAGGCAAAAUGGUGGGGGUUCUAUAUAAAUGAUAUGUCUGCAUCCGAAUCAUCUGUACCUUUUUGGGCUUUAGAACCAAACCUAAUAGUAAUAAUAGCAACCAAUUCUUAACUGCAUGAUCAUUAGGUACUAAUCACUGCUAUGUUCACAGGCUAGAACUCUCAACUGGAGAAAGGUAGAGUUGUUUGUCUAAAUCAAUAAUCUCAAAUUAAGUACACUUAAUUUGAGCAUAUACCCCCAAUAUAUGUAUAUUACUUUAUAAGUUAUACACAUCCACUAUUGGGCUAAUAUAAAAUAUACAUUAUGAAAUGUAAACAAAAAGUUUGAAGGAAUACAAUGAAAAUGAAUAAACUUUUAUCUCAGGGAAAAUAUAUACUUAGGUUUCUGUAUCUUGUUAUUAAGUGGAUACAAAUUAAUACUGUAUUUCAAAUAGAUUUUUUAAUAGUUUUGGAUGUUUUGAGUCAGCUGGUCAGAUUUUGUUAAUCAUUGUAUUUAACUUCAUAAUGUGACUGAUGAAGGGAUCAUACUAAGUAAAAGUGUCAGUUCUGCCAUUUGAGAGUGGGGGAUCCUAUGUAUCAUCUUCAAUUCACAGGGUUUUCUUUUUCCCAGCAAUUUUUUAAAACCAAUUAUUCACUUUGUAAUAUUUCAUUUUGUUAAAGUUAGAUUUUAAAAAUCCAUAAAUCCCCUUUUGAACCACAAUAUGUCACUAAUGCUCAAAGAAAGAAACUCCAUUUGUAUCUCAUCUGAUGUGAGCGUCAAAUAUAGAAACAAUGUGGGGAUGCCAACCUCAAUCCAUAUGGAUGAAUAGGGCUUAAUUUUCUCAUGAUAAACCUAAGUAGAAGCUAUGAAAAUUCUUACCACACUUCAGUGAAUUAUCUUGUAUACCUCUAGAGUGAGCACAUUCCACUUUGGAGAUCAGUAGUCUCAGCAACAAGACCUGUGGCCAUAAAGUGGGAAUAAACAAUCCAAUUUUUAGCAAUGCUUGGCCCAGAUUCACUUAUGAGUGACAUGAGAAAGGUACAACAUGAUAUUCCAGGAAAUCAGAAGAGCUAAGUAUAUCUGAACCUUUGAGAGUAUGGCCUGUCCAUACAAAGGCAGAAUCUACAUUUGUCAAGUGCCUUCAAGAAACAUUCUACCAAGAUAUGCACCUCCACAAAAGUAAGAAAAAGAGAAAAAAAAGAUUUUAAAAUUUUAUUUUAUUUUUUUGAGAUGGAGUCUCGCUCUGUCCCCCAGGUUGGAGUGCAGUGGCGCUAUCUCAGCUCACUGCAAGCUCCGCCUCCCAGGUUCACUCCAUUCUCCUGCCUCAGCCUCCCAAGUAGCUGGGACUACAGGCGCCCACCACCACACCCGGCUAUUUUUUUUUUUUUGUAUUUUUAGUAGAGACGGGGUUUCACCGUGUUAGCCAGGAUGGUCUCAAUCUCCUGACCUCGUGAUCCACCCACCUUGGCCUCCCAAAGUGCUGGGAUUACAGGCGUGAGCCACCGCACCUGGCCUUUAAAAUUUUAUUUUUAAAAAAUCACACACACACAAAAUACAUUCUACUUUUUAAGAAAAUUGACUUAGAUUUAAUCCCAGCUCUGCUAUUUGCUAACCAUGCAAUUUUGGGAAAGUAACGACCUAUUGGAGCCUGUUUCCCAUCUCCAAAGUGAGAAUGAUUAAUGCUAUACCUACUUCACUGAGAAGAAGAGUGUAUCAUGGUCAUAUUGACCCCUCACUAUGUGCAUAGAGAUGCUGAGCUAAACUCUUUACAAGCGUUUAUUUAAUCCUCAAUAUACCAGUGACUAGAGGCUAAGCAGUUUACCAAAGCAUUUUCCUUUCCCUCCUUAGCACACAGGACUAUAUUUCCUGGCCUCCUUUGCAGUUAGGUGCAGCCACAUUACUGUGUUCUAGCCAUUGAAAUAUGGAAAGAAAUGAUCAAUACUACCUCCAGCCCUGGCCCAUAAAACUUUCCUUUCCAUUCUUCGUGCUCUCAUUCUUCCUUCAUCUGCCGGAGGAUUCAGCAGAACCAUUAGGUGCACAGAGCUCUUCUCUCCUCCCACUACUUCCAACGUGCAUUGAACUGUGAUGUGAGCCAGAAAUAAACUCUUAUUGUGUUAAAU